GGGGAGCGGCAGACGAGAGAGUAACACGUUGGGAUCUACCCCAGACGUCAGGAUAACCACUCGAAAGAGUGGCUAAUACCGGAUAGUCUCGUAAGAGUAAAGCUUUUGCGGUCUGGGAGGAACCUGCGGCCUAUCAGCUAGUUGGUAAGGUAACGGCUUACCAAGGCGAUGACGGGUAGCUGAUGUGAGAGCAUGAUCAGCCUCGAUGGGACUGAGACACGGCCCAUACUCCUACGGGAGGCAGCAGUGAAGAAUCUUCCGCAAUGGACGAAAGUCUGACGGAGCAACACCGUGUGGUGGAUGACGGCCUUCGGGUUGUAAACACCUUUUCUGAGGGAAUAAGUUCUGAAGGUACCUCAGGAAUAAGGCGCUGCUAACUACGUGCCAGCAGCAGCGGUAAUACGUAGGCGCCAAGCGUUAUCCGGAAUUAUUGGGCGUAAAGCGUCUGUCGGCGGUGGUUUAAGUCUGGUGUGAAAUUUCAAUGCUCAACAUUGAAUGCGUACUGGAAACUGGAUCACUAGAGU
rnacentral:rRNA from 1 species